rnacentral:rRNA from 1 species
GCGCAGCAGGCGCGAAACCUCCGCAAUGCGGGAAACCGCGACGGGGGACCCCGAGUGCCGUGGCAACGCCACGGCUUUUCCGGAGUGUAAAAAGCUCCGGGAAUAAGGGCUGGGCAAGGCCGGUGGCGAGCCGCCGCGGUAAUACCGGCGGCCCGGAGUGGUGGCCGCUAUUAUUGGGCCUAAAGCGUCCGUAGCCGGGCCCGUAAGUCCCUGGCGAAAUCCCACGGCUCAACCGUGGGGCUUGCUGGGGAUACUGCGGGUCUUGGGACC